rnacentral:rRNA from 1 species
AGGCAGCCGGCAAGUCCCUUACUGACGCUAAAGCUCGAAAGUGCGGGUAUCGAACAGGAUUAGAUACCCUGGUAGUCCGCACGGUAAACGAUGGAUGCCCGCUGUCGGCGAUAUAUUGUCGGCGGCCAAGCGAAAGCGUUAAGCAUCCCACCUGGGGAGUACGCCGGCAACGGUGAAACUCAAAGGAAUUGACGGGGGCCCGCACAAGCGGAGGAACAUGUGGUUUAAUUCGAUGAUACGCGAGGAACCUUACCCGGGCUUGAACUGCAGGAGAAGGCGGCAGAGAUGCCAACGUCCUUCGGGACUCCUGUGGAGGUGCUGCAUGGUUGUCGUCAGCUCGUGCCGUGAGGUGUCGGCUUAAGUGCCAUAACGAGCGCAACCCCUGCUGUCAGUUGCCAUCGGGUGAUGCCGGGCACUCUGUCAGGACUGCCACCGUAAGGUGUGAGGAAGGUGGGGAUGACGUCAAAUCAGCACGGCCCUUACGUCCGGGGCUACACACGUGUUACAAUGGGUGGUACUGAGAGCCGGGUGUACGCAAGUGCACUCCAAUCAUUAAAGCCAUCCUCAGUUCGGAUUGGGGUCUGCAACCCGACCCCAGAAG